UUAUUUUUAAAAAAUGCGAAUUUAUGUAAAAAAAAAUAUUAAAUUAAGUAAAUUUUAAAAUUUUAAAACUGAAAAGGAAAAUUAAUAAUAAUUCAAUAGUAAUUUGAUUGUACCUUUAGCAUUAGGGUUUUUUUAAAAAAAUUAUGAAUAUAAUUUUCUCGAAAUAUGUUGAUCUAAAUUUUUUAAAAUAAUUUAUGUUUCAAUAUAAUUAAAAAAUAAAUUUAGAGGUGAAAUGCUUUUCAUGACAUAAGAUAUCUAGUUUUAAAAAUUUUAUUUAAUAUUUUUCUAUGUUUUAUUACUAAUAUUAUUAAGAAUUAAUAUAGAACAAUUAUCUAGGGAUAAGCUUAGAUUUAUUUUUUUUUUAAAUUUUAAAAAUAUAUAAAUUAAGAAUUAAAAUUUUUCUUUUUAUUUUUAUAAAUAAUUUCAAAAAGAAAAAAGAUUAUUAAUUUUUUAAUUAGAAAUUAAACGUUUAAUUUCUCAAAAAAUGAAAAAAUAAGUAAAAGAAAAAUUAUAUGAUAUACAUAUGUAUAAGUAAUAAUAAAAAUUAAAUAAUUUUUAAGAAUUCGGCAAAAAAUUUUUCUGACUGUUUAAUAAAAACAACUUAUUUAGUUAUUUUUAAAUAUAAAUCCUGCUCAAUGAAAAUUUAAAUUGCUGUAGUAUUUUGACUAUACAAAGGUAUUGAAAUAAGAUUUUAAUUGAAUGCUAAGAGAAUGGAAUUUCAGAAAAAUUCUUUUUUAAAACUAAAAAUUGAACUUAUUUUAAUUUGUGAAGAACCAAUUAUUAAUAUUAAGGACAAGAAGACCCUAAGAAUUUUUUGUUUUUUUUUAAAAAAUUUUUUAAAAUAAAAACUUUAAUUGGGGCGAUUAAAAAAUAUAAAUAACUUUUUUGAAAAGAAAAAUUGAACCAUUAUUAAUGGGAAAAUGGAAAAAUACUCUAGGGAUAACAGCGUAAUAAUUUUUGAUAGAUCAUAUUGACAAAAUAGAUUGCGACCUCGAUGUUGGAUUAGGAUACUUUUUUAAUGAAGAUAUUAAAAAAAGAAGUUUGUUCAACUUUUAAAAUCCUACAUGAUCUGAGUUUAGACCGAUGAGAAUCAGGUUGGAUUCUAUCUUAAUUUUUAUUUAAUUUUAAAUAGUACGAAAGGAAUUUUAAAAAUUAAGCAUUUAAAUAAAUUUCGCUUUAUU
rnacentral:rRNA from 1 species